rnacentral:rRNA from 1 species
UACGUAGGGGGCAAGCGUUGUCCGGAAUCAUUGGGCGUAAAGAGCGUGUAGGCGGCUCGGUAAGUCCGCUCUGAAAGCCCGGGGCUCAACCCCGGGAGGCGGGCGGAUACUGUCGGGCUAGAGUCCGGAAGAGGAGUGUGGAAUUCCUGGUGUAGCGGUGAAAUGCGCAGAUAUCAGGAGGAACACCAAUGGCGAAGGCAGCACUCUGGGACGUGACUGACGCUGAGACGCGAAAGCGUGGGGAGCAAACAGG